rnacentral:rRNA from 1 species
AUUGAACGCUGGCGGCAGGCUUAACACAUGCAAGUCGAGCGGGGUGAUGGUGCUUGCACUAUCACUUAGCGGCGGACGGGUGAGUAAUGUUUAGGAAUCUGCCUAUUAGUGGGGGACAACAUCUCGAAAGGGAUGCUAAUACCGCAUACGUCCUACGGGAGAAAGCAGGGGAUCACUUGUGACCUUGCGCUAAUAGAUGAGCCUAAGUCGGAUUAGCUAGUUGGUGGGGUAAAGGCCUACCAAGGCGACGAUCUGUAGCGGGUCUGAGAGGAUGAUCCGCCACACUGGGACUGAGACACGGCCCAGACUCCUACGGGAGGCGGCAGUGGGGAAUAUUGGACAAUGGGGGGAACCCUGAUCCAGCCAUGCCGCGUGUGUGAAGAAGGCCUUAUGGUUGUAAAGCACUUUAAGCGAGGAGGAGGCUCUUUUGGUUAAUACCCAAGAUGAGUGGACGUUACUCGCAGAAUAAGCACCGGCUAACUCUGUGCCAGCCGCCGCCGUAA